rnacentral:rRNA from 1 species
UAAGCGGAGGAAAAGAAACUAACUAGGAUUCCCUCAGUAGCUGCGAGCGAACAGGGAAGAGCCCAGCACCGAAUCCCGCGGCCGAUAUCGGACGCCGGGAAAUGUGGUGUUAGGGAGGAUCCGUUUAUCCCGAGGUCGUGCGGUGCGUCCAAGUCCUUCUUGAACGGGGCCACAGCCCAUAGAGGGUGCCAGGCCCGUAGCGACCGCUGCCGAUCGCGGGAGGAUCUCUCCUCAGAGUCGGGUUGCUUGAGAGUGCAGCCCUAAGUGGGUGGUAAACUCCAUCUAAGGCUAAAUAUGACCACGAGACCGAUAGCGAACAAGUACCGUGAGGGAAAGUUGAAAAGCACUUUGAAGAGAGAGUUCAAGAGUACGUGAAACCGUUCAGGGGUAAACCUGAGAAGCCCGAAAGGUCGAAUGGGGAAAUUCAUUCGCAUUUCGCGCGUCGUCCGCGCCUUCCGUUCUUCGAACCGGCGUCGAAGGCGUGCACUUUUCCCCUAGUAGGACGUCGCGAUCCGUUGUGUGUCGGUCCUCGCGGUGGAGCCCGUGCGGUGGCCGCGCACGGACCCGCGGUGUCCCGGCCGACUCGCUCGACGGUAUACAGAUGGCGCGAGGCCGCUACACAGUUAGCGUUCGGCCCGCGGCAAGCGCGUUCGUGACGGCGAUCGGACCUGGUGCCGGUCCUGUCCGCGAACGACUGUUGGCUGCUCUCGAACAGACCUCGUCGAAACGCCGAUCUGCGACGCUAUAGCUUUGGGUACUUUCAGGACCCGUCUUGAA